UUUUCGAAGGCGCUAUCGCGAACUUUUGCAUGACAAAGGUAAAAAGCACCGUCAAAGUGUGGUCAAAGUGAGUGACAUCGACAUGUGCCACUGGACAAAAUCCAGAUACCAAUCCAAUGGACCGAUAGAGCGUGCGGAUGGGCGAACGUCAAUGUGCAUCAUCAAAAACAAAGCAUAGUGCUGGCGCUUAUUAUGAUGUCAUCUCCUGUGAUGCAAACUGUUAUGAAAAUACCGGAGCAAAACCGAACGAGGUCCCCAUUUUCCCUGGAUUCACAUGUAAUAAUAAUAAUGUAUUGUAAUAAUUCACAUAGAUGAAACUGAAAUGUGUGUUUUACUUAUUUCAGCAUGCCACAGCAGAGGAGACCAAUGAAAAACAGUUCUUCAGGGCUGUUUCUGCAAAAGACAGUGCUAAAGGAGGCUGGAGACCUUUUGGAUGCAUCAUUACUUUUUUAGGUUAACUAUUGCAGGUACAUAACCAUAACCAAUCAAUGACAGUUUUUGUGCAUUGUAUAAGCACAGAUAUUCUGGAGAUCAUUGCUUAAAAAAUCUCUGUUGUGGACUCAUUUGUCACAACAACUUUGUAUUUGUGAGAUUUUUGUUUAUAUUCAGACAAUAAAGGCUAUUACGUAGUU